rnacentral:lncRNA from 1 species
CUACAAGCUCACUCACAAGGUUUUUUCUUUAAUACCCAAAUGGACAUGAGGAGGACGUAGAGGCUGAACAAGAAGUAUAGCCAAAAAGCUGCUAAUGCUGAGGCGGAGGUGGAGGCGAAGAAGCUGAAGGCUGAUGUUCCACUAUUGAUGAGGUCAUCGAGGCCUUUAGGGUGAAGCACGCCGAGGAUGAGUCGAGGAUUGGGCUUCUUACUAUUGAGAAUGAUAAAAUAAAGAAGGAAGUCCACCUUCCAAAUCCGAGGUGAAUGCUUUGAGGAGGCGAGUCAAAAACUAUGAUAACCUGCAGAAAUAGCCUAGUCGACUUUGGAAGCAGCCAAUAAGGAGAAAGCGAAGCUUAGAGCUCAAGCGAAUGGGCAGACUGCUGAGAUCGCCAAUUUAAAGCAAUUGAUUGAGGCAAGAAGGCAGUCGUGAACAUCUCUGUGGAACAUUUUCAUGAAACUGAUGAGUAUGACGGCCUCGAUUUGUACUGGAGGAAGAUCGUAUGCAAUGAAGUUCUUGGAAGGAUUGCUGAGCUGUACCCCAGGUGGAUCAGACAACUGUAAUGGAGAAAUUCCUCCCAGGAGAGCCAUCCACUCCUACUGAUGAUUCUGAAGAUUCCGACGACAGGGAAAGCGAAAUUGACCCUUGGUAGGAUGAAGAUCUGCAUAGGCUGCCACUAUAUUUUUUUCCUCCAUUGUAAUAGCAAUCUUUCAUUUGUUACGGGUCUAUUUGAAUGAGAAAAGCUCUUUCCUUAAUAAAGCGUGUUGAUUUGAUG